rnacentral:rRNA from 1 species
UACGUAGGUCCCGAGCGUUGUCCGGAUUUAUUGGGCGUAAAGCGAGCGCAGGUGGUUUAUUAAGUCUGGUGUAAGAGGCAGUGGCUCAACCAUUGUAUGCAUUGGAAACUGGUAGACUUGAGUGCAGGAGAGGAGAGUGGAAUUCCAUGUGUAGCGGUGAAAUGCGUAGAUAUAUGGAGGAACACCGGUGGCGAAAGCGGCUCUCUGGCCUGUAACUGACACUGAGGCUCGAAAGCGUGGGGUGCAAACAGG